ncrna:unclassified sequences engA RNA
GCCUUAACUGUUUAGUAAGGCUUACUCUCACAUACUGUGAGGGCUGGGGAGUGGUCAUCCUCGGCAAAUAUUCAUCGGAUGCUUGACCACAUCUGGCGUCU